AGCCGGGUCGUCUAGCGGCCAAGGAUGCGGGGCUUUGGUCCGCUCGGAAGAUACCCCGCGACCGGGGUUCGAAUCCCCGCCCGGCUA
rnacentral:tRNA from 1 species